ensembl:lncRNA
CGGCACUCAUAUCAGGCAAGACACAGCUGCCUGUAACUCCAGCUUCAGGGGAUCCUGGGUGCGCUGUACUUGUGUGGAUAACAACCCAGGCGCAUACACGUUAAAAAGAGGGCCUCAGCCUCAAGGCUGUGGAGCUUGGGCCCUUUAAAAUGCUCUGGCUAGGAGCAGGGAAUGACUGGCAGGUCAAACCCUGCUGCUGAGAAUGACCUAGAGGUGGCGACUGAGAGUCGGGCUUGAGACGGCUUCGUUGGUAAAGUGGCUGCUGUACAGGGAAACCCAAGAAGGACUUCAAAUCCGGUCUCUCUACCACCAUCAACGAAGAAUACAUACGCAGAAGGCAGGGACAAAGGAAAGCUGUUUUGGGGUUCAAGGCAGCGGGCCAGACAGAUUCAUCUCUGAGCGUACUGAACACUGACAUGUGCAUACAAAACAACACUGCCUCCGUAGGAUUUCGGAAAGCUUCUCACCUUGCUCUUUGAAAAAUACACUCUGCUUCCAGUGGCCACUCGGCCUUGGGGUUAGAGGAACAAAACCUUCCUUCCUGACUACAUACAAAAAACCCUGGCCACAAACUAGUGGUCAUGGAGUCAAAACUAGCAGGAUAGCAGGCUGCUGGCAUGACGCUUCCUGGAGAGACAUGGGCAAGUAUCUGCUCACCCUAAUAGCACAGCAACGGCAGACCAAAGAAAUCAUUUUGUGAGCGGUUGUGGGAGACACAGCCCAACAGCUGGCAGCAGCCUAAGUUGUUCCCUUCAGCUCAGGGCUCUCAACACAAGGAUCUUAGACUUGGC